AACGAACGCUGGCGGCAGGCCUAACACAUGCAAGUCGAGCGGACCCUUCGGGGUUAGUGGCGGUCGGGUGAGUAACGCGUGGGAAUAUGCCCUUCUCUACGGAAUUGUCCUGGUUAACUGGGGGUAAUACCGUAUACGUCCUUCGGGGGCCAGAUUUAUCGGGGAAGGGUGAGCCCGCGUUGCAUUAGGUGGUUGGUGGGGUAAUGGCCUACCAAGCGGUAGAUCCAUAGCUGGUUUGAGAGAAAGAGCAGCCACACUGGGACUAAGACACGGCCCAGAAUCCUACGGGAGGCAGGAGAGGGGAAUCUAGGACAAUGGCGUCAGCGCUGAACGAGCCAUGCCGCGUGAGUGAUGAAGUCCUUAGAGUAGUAAAGCUCGUUCAGCUGGGGAUAUAAUGACGGUACCAACAGAAGAAGCCCCGGCUAACUCCGUG
rnacentral:rRNA from 1 species